AAUAGUUGGCUUUUAGAAAUGUCUUUGUUCUCCUACCUUGACCUCAAGCUGUUAGGAAAAGGACUAAUCCUAGAAACAGUUGUUGCUGGAGUGGGCAUUUUUCUUUUUUUUCCAUUUGCUUUGUCCAUCAGUUACAUACAAUUUUUUCUUUGUAAGGAGAAAGUUCAGGCUUUUAUAGAAACCUCAUUACUAAGUUAUUAAGUGUUGUGCUGGAAUUGGACUGGAGUGGCAGCGUUAGACAGCAAUCAGGUGCAGCACUCUGGCUUAUAGCCACCUGCAGUGGGCAACAUUAGGAGAAAGAGAGAGGAUGAAUCUUCACUACGCUGAGGAUCCCAUUCCCCUGUCUCUUCAUGAUGGUGCUGACCAGUUCAAGAAUACUGGAGCAUGCUCAGACCAGG